UACGUAGGGGGGCAAGCGUUGUCCGGAAUCAUUGGGCGUAAAGAGCGCGUAGGCGGCCCUGUAAGUCCGCUGUGAAAGUCAAGGGCUCAACCCUUGAAUGCCGGUGGAUACUGCAGGGCUAGAGUCCGGAAGAGGCGAGUGGAAUCCUGGUGUAGCGGUGAAAUGCGCAGAUAUCAGGAGGAACACCAAUUGCGAAGGCAGCUCGCUGGGACGUUACUGACGCUGAGACGCGAAAGCGUGGGGAGCAAACAGG
rnacentral:rRNA from 1 species